GUAUCCUACGGGGGGCAGCAGUGGGGAAUAUUUCACAAUGGGGGAAACCCUGAUGCAGCGACGCCGCGUGAGUGAAGAAGUAUUUCGGUAUGUAAAGCUCUCUCAGCAGGGAAGAUAAUGACGGUACCUGACUAAGAAGCCCCGGCUAACUACGUGCCAGCAGCCGCGGUAAUACGUAGGGAGCGAGCGUUAUCCGGAAUUAUUGGGUGUAAAGGGUGCGUAGACGGGAAAACAAGUUAGUUGUGAAAUCCCUCGGCUUAACUGAGGAACUGCAACUAAAACUAUUUUUCUUGAGUGCAGGAGAG
rnacentral:rRNA from 1 species